UUCCGGUUGAUCCUGCCGGAGGUUACUGCUAUCGGUGUUCGCCUAAGCCAUGCGAGUCAUAUGUAGCAAUACAUGGCGUACUGCUCAGUAACACGUGGAUAACCUGCCCUUGGGUCCGGCAUAACCCCGGGAAACUGGGGAUAAUUCCGGAUAACGCACAUAUGCUGGAAUGCUUUAUGCGUCAAAUGGAUUCGUCUGCCCAAGGAUGGGUCUGCGGCCUAUCAGGUAGUAGUGGGUGUAAUGUACCUACUAGCCGACAACGGGUACGGGUUGUGAGAGCAAGAGCCCGGAGAUGGAUUCUGAGACAUGAAUCCAGGCCCUACGGGGCGCAGCAGGCGCGAAAACUUUACAAUGCGGGAAACCGUGAUAAGGGGACACCGAGUGUCAGCAUCAUAUGCUGGCUGUCCAGGUGUGUAAAAUACACCUGUUAGCAAGGGCCGGGCAAGACCGGUGCCAGCCGCCGCGGUAACACCGGCGGCCCGAGUGGUGAUCGUGAUUAUUGGGUCUAAAGGGUCCGUAGCCGGUUUGGUCAGUCCUCCGGGAAAUCUGAUAGCUCAACUAUUAGGCUAUCGGGGGAUACUGCCAGGCUUGGAACCGGGAGAGGUAAGAGGUACUACAGGGGUAGGAGUGAAAUCUUGUAAUCCCUGUGGGACCACCUGUGGCGAAGGCGUCUUACCAGAACGGGUUCGACGGUGAGGGACGAAAGCUGGGGGCACGAACCGGAUUAGAUACCCGGGUAGUCCCAGCCGUAAACGAUGCUCGCUAGGUGUCAGCAUGGCGCGACCGUGUCUGGUGCCGCAGGGAAGCCGUGAAGCGAGCCACCUGGGGAAGUACGGCCGCARGGCUGAAACUUAAAGGAAWUUGGCGGGGGAGCAC
rnacentral:rRNA from 1 species